rnacentral:rRNA from 1 species
GAUGAACGCUAGCUACAGGCUUAACACAUGCAAGUCGCGGGGCAGCAUGGGGGUUGCUUGCAAUCCCCGAUGGCGACCGGCGCACGGGUGAGUAACGCGUAUUCAACCUGCCCUUCACCACGGGAUAACCCGGCGAAAGUCGGACUAAUACCGUAUGUUGUCCAUUGACGGCAUCCGAUUUGGACGAAAGGCUUGGCGGUGAGGGAUGGGGAUGCGUCCGAUUAGCCAGACGGCGGGGUAACGGCCCACCGUGGCUACGAUCGGUAGGGGUUCUGAGAGGAAGGUCCCCCACACUGGAACUGAGACACGGUCCAGACUCCUACGGGAGGCAGCAGUGAGGAAUAUUGGUCAAUGGGCGUAAGCCUGAACCAGCCAAGUAGCGUGCAGGAUGACGGCCCUAUGGGUUGUAAACUGCUUUUAUGCGGGGAUAAAGUGGCCCACGUGUGGGCUUUUGCAGGUACCGCAUGAAUAAGGACCGGCUAAUUCCGUG